CCCCCCCCUUGGGUUGUGCCGUGGCGGAGAUCUUUGUGGGCUAUACUCGGCCUUGUCUUAGGACGGACCUGAGCCCUAGGACCAUGCCUCAGGACUACCUGGCAUGAUGACUCCUUGCUGUCCCCAGUCCACCUGGCCGUGCUGCUGCUCCAGUUUCAACUGUUCUGCCUGUGGCUAUGGAACCCUGACCUGUUCACCGGACGUGCUUGUUGCACCCUCGACAACUACUAUGAUUAUUAUUAUUUGACCAUGCUGGUCAUUUAUGAACAUUUUAACAUCUUGACCAUGUUCUGUUAUAAUAUCCACCCGGCACAGCCAGAAGAGGACUGGCCACCCCUCAUAGCCUGGUUCCUCUCUAGGUUUCUUCCUAGGUUUUUGGCCUUUCUAGGGAGUUUUUCCUAGGGAGUUUUUCCUAGCCACCGUGCUUCUUUCACAUGCAUUGCUUGCUGUUUGGGGUUUUAGGCUGGGUUUCUGUACAGCACUUUGAGAUAUCAGCUGAUGUACGAAGGGCUAUAUAAAUAAAUUUGAUUUGAUUUGAUUUGAUUACUACUGAUAUUGAUUACUGCUGAUAUUGAUUACUACUGAUAUUGAUUACUACUGAUAUUGAUUACUGCUGAUAUUGAUUACUGCUGAUAUUGAUUACUGCUGAUAUUGAUUACUACUGAUAUUGAUUACUACUGAUAUUGAUUAUUACUGCUAUUGAUUACUACUGCUAUUAAUUACUGCUGAUAUGAUUACUGCUGAUAUUGAUUACUGCUGAUAUUGAUUACUACUGAUAUUGAUUACUGCUGAUAUUGAUUACUGCUGAUAUUGAUUACUACUGCUAUUGAUUACUACUGCUAUUGAUUACUACUGCUAUUGAUUACUGCUGAUAUUGAUUACUGCUGAUAUUGAUUACUACUGAUAUUGUUUACUACUGAUAUUGAUUACUACUGAUAUUGAUCACCACAUUGUUGGGAAGGAGCAAGCAAGAAAGGCAUUUCACUGUACUAGUGCCUAUGACAAUUAAAAGUAGAGAGACUAGGCUGGGCCCACACACACACACACACCUAUGUUUGCUCUGUUUGAUGGGUGGGGCUUGAAGCUAUGAGGGACAUAGUUUGAAGGGCCGCGGUGCACUUUGAACCCACAACCCAACCCCUCCACGUUGUUCAACAGGUCGUUCGGAACAGUUUCCAUUUAAUUGAACGUUGCAUUACGUUUUUUAACUUGGUCGUUCUGAACAGCCCUGUUCCGUUUAAUUGAACGUUGCAUUAUGUUUUUUAACUGGUCGUUCU
rnacentral:lncRNA from 1 species